UAACUGAUUUAUAGAGUAAAAAGCUUCUAACUUUUAAACUGAGCAGUGUGAUUCUGUUCUAUUGUCUA
rnacentral:tRNA from 1 species